rnacentral:rRNA from 1 species
CCUACAGGGGGCAGCAGUAGGGAAUAUUGCUCAAUGGGGGAAACCCUGAAGCAGCAACGCCGCGUGGAGGAUGAAGGUUUUCGGAUUGUAAACUCCUUUUGUUAGAGACGAUAAUGACGGUAUCUAACGAAUAAGCACCGGCUAACUCCGUGCCAGCAGCCGCGGUAAUACGGAGGGUGCAAGCGUUACGCGGAAUCACUGGGCGUAAGGAGCGCGUAGGCGGGAUAGCAAGUCAGAUGUGAAAUCCUAUGGCUUAACCAUAGAACUGCAUUUGAAACUGUUAUUCUAGAGUAUGGGAGAGGUAGGUGGAAUUCUUGGUGUAGGGGUAAAAUCCGUAGAGAUCAAGAGGAAUACUCAUUGCGAAGGCGACCUGCUAGAACAUAACUGACGCUGAUGCGCGAAAGUGUGGGGAGCAAACAGGAUUAGAUACCCCAGUAGUC